rnacentral:rRNA from 1 species
UGGGGAAUUUUGCGCAAUGGGCGAAAGCCUGACGCAGCGACGCCGCGUGAGUGAUGAAGGCCUUCGGGUUGUAAAGCUCUGUGGGGAGGGAAGAAUAAGGGGCGGCUAAUACCCGCACCGAUGACGGUACCUCCUUAGCAAGCACCGGCUAACUCUGUGCCAGCAGCCGCGGUAAGACAGAGGGUGCAAACGUUGUUCGGAAUUACUGGGCGUAAAGCGCGUGUAGGCGGUCUAGCAAGUCGGAUGUGAAAGCCCUUGGCUCAACUGAGGAAGUGCAUUCGAAACUGCGAGACUUGAGUCCCGGAGAGGAUGGUGGAAUUCUCGGUGUAGAGGUGAAAUUCGUAGAUAUCGAGAGGAACACCGGUGGCGAAGGCGGCCAUCUGGACGGUGACUGACGCUG